GACUGACUUUCUCUGUGUGCCAUGCUGUGCACGAAGCCAAAGCUGCUCAGCUGGAUGUAAGUCCUAAACCUGUUCCCAGUAUUAGGACAGUCCCUGUAUUUGAGAUGCAGGGCUUUAUGUGCCACAGCUUGAAGGUGAAAUCUAAGCAGGUGGGCACGGUGUUGUCUGUCCCCAGGCUUAAUGAAGAUACUCCUGAAACAUGCAACCCCCCUGCUCUGGAGUAAUUUAGGAUACUCCUUGUAACACCAGAAGUUUAUUUGGAUGAUUCUUAACUAAUGCAGUUGAAGCCCAUGAGCAGCACGAGGAUCAGCUGCUUGUCUGCUGUCAGGUGGCUUCAAUUCAGUGAAUUUACUGUGCAGGGCACCUGGGAAGCAGAUAAUGCUGUGGUGCUUAUUUAAAUAAGGGCUGCUAAUCUCCAAACCUCUUGUCUGGCUAGUCCAACGUGUGCUUUCAAAGGAUGUGUUCCCCACUUACCCAAUGAAGCCAUCAUUAAAAGUUCUUCACACGCUCUAAAGAUCUGAAAUUGCCUCCCUGGUAGCAGGAGAGUUUGGAAUUAGAAGUGGAACAGCAAAAUUCUGCAGAGGAAGGUGCUGCCUGAGGCUGAGGCAUUCCCCUUGGAAAGCAGGUGCCUUUCUGAUGUCAGCAGGGAAAAGCUGCAGCUCCCCACAGCUUGGGAGAGCCCUCCCUGCCCAUGUCUGAACCUGUCUCAGUUCAGCCAGGCCUGUUAUGGAUUUAGCAUCAAGCACGUGUUUAAAGUCCCAUUGAGGCUUCAUUUUGGCACAAAUAUAAGACCACUGGGAUUUUAGCUUGUGCUAAAUUUCUUGCUGCAGUACCUGGCUAAAUGUGUGUUUGAGUUGUGGCCUCUGAAAAGAGCAUGUUUGUAUAAUGCAAUAUCCUGAUUUGUGAAAGGAGGGAACAUAACAUUUACUGGGAUACUGCAGGAGUCAGGGUAAUCUUUGUGCAUUCUGAAAUCCUCCUGUGAAUCCCUGCAAGACUUUGGGCUCAAAGACCCCAGGGCUCAGAGAGCUGCUAUGUGAAAAAAAUGAUCCAUAAUGUCUUUGUUCCCAUAAGAAAAUGAUGCACUUGGAAAAGUAACAGAAAACCUAAAUUUAUGCAGCAUAGCAGUUUUGAAGGAAGCAGGCAGUCUAGACACCUACAGUUGUUACAUAAGGAUGCAUUGAGGACUCAUUAAUAUUUCACUAACCAAUAAAAUGUUGUAUAUUAAAGUAUUAAAAUAUAAUGUUAUCCAUUUUGCUGCCUUGCAAUGGGAAACAAACCACAAGAAGAUACCUCAUAGGAAAAAACCACCAGGGUAGACUUGAAAAUUACUUUAGAUGUAAAGCUUUGGGGGCUUAAAAAAGAUACAGGGGAGCAAUUUUUGGGAUCUGUCCUGGUUUUGCAGCCACACACAUUUAAACUAUACAUUGGAACCUGGGAUAAACCCACAAGGGUGAUUUUUCUGUGUUCUCAUUGGUUGUGGCAGGUUCAGGGGGCUGCUGCUGGCUUUAUGCAGAGGUUUGGGAAGCCUUAUCCUUUACAUGUCACCAAAUGUUAUGUUUGCUUCCCAGUCCAGUGAGCUUUUGCAAGUGCAGGUGUAAAUUUGCACUAAGGCAGCUGCAGGCUUUGAAGAGGAGCUGCUUGAAGGAAUUGGGUGCUGAGCUUGCUCUCCAGAUCCUUUCAGUGUGCCUUGGAAAAGGCAAAUAUCCAGGGAGAGUUUCAGAUUGUAGUGGGUUGACCCUGGCUGGAUGCCAGACACGGCAGCCCUGUACCCACCCCACAACCAAAACCUGUCCACCCAAACCCAGCCCACAGACAAACGAGGUGUGCUGAUUUCCAUUUACAAAAACCAAAGCAAAACAAAGCAAAAAACCCAGGAAAAUCAAACCACCAGGAGAUACAAGUAAAAACCAACCUCUCUUUUUUGGCUUGGGAAUGACACACUUUAAAAGGCAGCCUUUUAAAUAGGGCUGUUCUCAGUAGGGCUUGAAACACUGUAGGAGAAGAAAUAUCUGUGUCAUCAACUUUUAGGCAGAAAAAGUGAGGCAGUGCAAAUUCUUCCCCUGCCAAGUCUCAUCUCAGGCUGUGGGGGUGAGGGAUAAGGUGAAUGUGGCUGUAUGUCCUCUGGCUGCCAAGGGAACCAGCCUGUGCAUCAGGCCCUACAAACAAGAGUGCUUGCUGUCAGGAAAUUUAGAUUUGCAUUAGCAGUCCCAAAUAAAUUAAACCUCCAAAUUAAAGCUCUCAAUACAGAGGAAAUUGUGGGGUGGCUUAACUGGGAUAUAGUUCUAGUUUUACUGGGGAAUGGCUCCACCAAAAUUUUCUGGGUUACACAUGUGUAUGAAUUGAGGUGCAGGGGUGUGUCAGUCCUUAGAAUAAAUUUUGGUGGGGUGAAAACCUUGAUUAUAUCUUGGGUUUUGGCAAUGAAUUUCUUUGAAAUGGUGGAAGCAUUUAUAUUAUUAUUCUUAUAGCUCUUGUAAGAUGCUUUUUACCAGUGCUUCAGAGUAAAAUUGUUCUGUAAAGUGCUUACACAGACAACUAAUAUCGAUUACAAUUAAAGUUCUCUUUUGAAUUUGAAUUUAAGGCAUGCCAAAUAUGGCAAGAGGCUGUGACUUUGUUAUUGAUACAUGCUUUUUGAUGGCUGGUAUCAGCCUAUAGCUGUUGAAGAAACUGAUCUCCUGUGCUAUAAAUAUUGUAUAUGACUCACAGCAACAUUCUUGAUAAUGUAGUAUUAAUUUAUUGCUGGUUUAAUUUUGUUGUGAGAUAAAGUUGUGUUUGGUUUAAUAUACAAACAAGUAAACAUGCCUAUUGUUUUGUUGAAUGAGGUAUUGGUAUUUUUUAAAUUUAACUUCUUAACUAAUUUUAAUUUAACUUUUUAACUAAUGCCAUGGGUAUGUGUGUUCAUUUAAAGGCCAAUGUUGUGUUUAAGGCUCCAACAAAGACAAACAAGGAUUUCAAUAUUUAAUUCUGUAGAAGAUGUCCCUCAAAUGUAAUUAAAUCUGAUCUCACUUACUGGCAGACAAAUGAAUAAUUCAUGGAGUUUAGGCAUAAUCAGGUUAUGAACUUUCUUAAAAUUUCAGAUGAUGUGCAAAGGUUAAUCUUUAUAUUAAAAGAAGAAAAGCUGGGAUAGUUGUAUUUCCAGUGUGAUAAUCCAGGUUGCCUAGGAUACCAUGUUAAAGAGACAGAAAGUUCAGGAUAUAUAUAGAGAGAGAGAGUCAAACACGAGCUGGUAUUUAUUUAAUGCAGAAGAUGUAUAGAUUUUUGUGUGUGCCUGAAUAGCUCAUUAUUUUUUCUUGACAAA